rnacentral:rRNA from 1 species
UAGGGAAUCUUGCGCAAUGGGCGAAAGCCUGACGCAGCGACGCCGCGUGAGGGAUGAAUGCCUUCGGGUUGUAAACCUCUUUCAGCAGGGACGAAGCCUCACGGUGACGGUACCUGCAGAAGAAGCCCCGGCCAACUACGUGCCAGCAGCCGCGGUAAUACGUAGGGGGCGAGCGUUGUCCGGAUUUAUUGGGCGUAAAGAGCGCGUAGGCGGCCGGCCACGUCGGAUGUGAAAGCUCGGAGCUCAACUCUGAGAGGCCAUUCGAUACGGGCCGGCUAGAGGCAGGUAGAGGAGAGUGGAAUUCCUGGUGUAGCGGUGAAAUGCGCAGAUAUCAGGAGGAACACCGGUGGCGAAGGCGGCUCUCUGGGCCUGUCCUGACGCUGAGGCGCGAAAGCUGGGGGAGCAAACAG